UACGUAGGGUGCGAGCGUUAAUCGGAAUUACUGGGCGUAAAGCGUGCGCAGGCGGCGCGUUAAGACAGGUGUGAAAGCCCCGAGCUUAACUUGGGAAUUGCGCUUGUGACUGGCGUGCUGGAGUGUGGCAGAGGGAGGUGGAGUUCCACGUGUAGCAGUGAAAUGCGUAGAGAUGUGGAGGAACACCGAUGGCGAAGGCAGCCUCCUGGGCCAGCACUGACGCUCAUGCACGAAAGCGUGGGGAGCAAACAGG
rnacentral:rRNA from 1 species